rnacentral:rRNA from 1 species
UACGAAGGGGGCUAGCGUUGCUCGGAAUCACUGGGCGUAAAGGGUGCGUAGGCGGGUCUUUUAAGUCAGGGGUGAAAUCCUGGAGCUUAACUCCGAAACUGCAUUCGAUACUGCCGUGCUUGAGGACUGGAGAGGAGACUGGAAUUUACGGUGUAGCGGUGAAAUGCGUAGAUAUCGUAAGGAAGACCAGUGGCGAAGGCGGGUCUCUGGACAGUUCCUGACGUGAGGCGCGAAGGCCAGGGGAGCGAACGGG